rnacentral:rRNA from 1 species
ACGAACGCUGGCGGCAUGCCUAACACAUGCAAGUCGAACGAGACCUUCGGGUCUAGUGGCGCACGGGUGCGUAACGCGUGGGAACCUGCCCUUAGGUUCGGAAUAACUCCCCGAAAGGGGUGCUAAUACCGGAUAAUGUCUUCGGACCAAAGAUUUAUCGCCUUUGGAUGGGCCCGCGUUGGAUUAGCUAGUUGGUAGGGUAAAAGCCUACCAAGGCGACGAUCCAUAGCUGGUCUGAGAGGAUGAUCAGCCACACUGGGACUGAGACACGGCCCAGACUCCUACGGGAGGCAGCAGUGGGGAAUAUUGGACAAUGGGCGAAAGCCUGAUCCAGCAAGGCCGCGUGGGUGAUGAAGGCCUUAGGGUUGGAAAGCUCUUUUACCCGGGAUGAUAAUGACAGUACCGGGAGAAUAAGCACCGGCUAACUCCGUG